GAAGAGACGUCUCCUUUCCAUGCAAAUACAGAAAUCAAAUGUGUAAAUGAAGAAAUUUGGAGUUUCUUAAUAUUCUUAAUGGAGUGCAUACAUACAUUUGAACUUAAGACUCUUCAAACACUUUUAAAAGUGACUUUAAAACUUAUAGCUACCUGAAUCCGAUCCUUCCUACAAAGAAGACACAGACAAAAAUGGUUACAUUUUAAUAUGUAAUGCUGAUGUGCCCAGACCCAAUACUGGAAGUAAGGAACAUGUGGCCUGUUCUGCUAGAUUUUCAACGAAAGAAUAUUUUAAACUUUCUUUUUAAAAAUAGAAUUUUAAAGCUGCUUUCACAGUUUUUACUUUACAGAAACACAUUGAAAAGGAAGAAAAGGCUUGUAUAUUAUAAUCUAAAUUUUAAAUUUCCCUCCAGUAAGGCUUUUAUAGUUUCCUAUUUAAUGAUUAGAUGAAAUGCAGCCUUCUGUGCACUGGCUUACUCAUAAGGCCAAAUCCCACAGCCACCUUUAAUAGUUUCUUCUAAAUUAAAAGUUUGGCAGAUUCUGAGUCCAGUGUGUUACAUCUGACCAAUUAUGGGUUUUUUGGUCUUCUAAUAUGCCACCGAAUUGGCAAGGUGGAAAAUGCCACACAUUUUUGCCUUCUGCGGUGUUAUGUGUUUUAUUAAACAGGACUGGCUAUUAGUCUCAAGAGAAGGAGAAAAGGAGCAAGACACAUCUCUUUAGGUUGAAACUCACCAAAGGUCAACUGUGUUACAUGGCUGGCAGCUAUAUCAGUUACUGUAAGCUAGGAUUUCAGAUCAGAGUUCUGCUUUUAUGAGAAAAUUAAAAGAAAAAAUGACGAUUACUACUUUGAUUGUAGUCACUGAACUGAUUCACUCAGAAUGCUUUUUCUUACAUGCUGUUUUUUUUUUUAAGGAUUCCUGUAAUAUUUCUAGUAGGUAGAAGAGACCAAAGGAAUUUAAGGACUCCCCUCCCCCAGAAUGCUUUUGUUCACCCUAUAGAUCAUGUCCUUUUUAUUCUUCUGCAAAAAAGAAAAGAAGAAAUAGAAUAUUUCUCCUCUGUCUGCCUCUUAAAAUUGUAUUUCCUUUGUGAAGUCUGACCUAAUUUUCUCAAGCCCUUAUAUUUUUCUUCUCUGAUCAUCCUAAACCCUUGUCUCUGUAUCUUUGUGACAUCACUUGGGAAUGGGAUGACAUAGACAUUUGUGUCUGUCUUUUGAUAUUAGGAUUACAAGGACUCAUCUCUCUCACCCCCCCCCCCCCAAGGAAAUUCAACAUUCAUUUCCUUAGAUUGACACUUUUUGUAUCUUAAUCCCUUCAUUCCGUCCACACAUGAACUUAAACUGGCUGGUCCACGGUGAGCAUUACAUUAAUUCUCAAGGAUAUGUCCUGAAGAAUUUGAUGAGAGUGGUAUGAUCACACAGUAAGCACAUGAAUAAUCUUCCAGAGCUCUAGAAAGGAAGACGAUAUUAGAGGGAUACUCGUCAGCUGACAUAUGUGCUUGAAGUGAUUGAUUUAUCUUUUAAAUUUUUACCUUAAAAAACUAAUAUUUUUCAUAAAAUAAAACUUGACCAUAUCCUUUCCCCUCCCCCAACUCCUCUCAGGUCUUCCCUGCCACCAUAUUUACCAAACUUUUUUACUUGAGCUCUGUGUGUGUCCAAACAAAAAACAAAAUAGAAAAUGCAACAAUAAAAAAGC
rnacentral:lncRNA from 1 species